UCUCAGCUAUAUAAUGAUGGGAAGGUUUGGCAUAUCACUCUGUCUGUUGCUGCUGUGUGUCUCGUGGUGUCACAGUCAGCCUGUAAACUCUGCUGCAGACAAAUUUAGAAAGCUGGUAGAGCUCCUAGCGGACCGCCAGGAAGGAUACGUCACAGAGCCGAUGGUUUCUCCUGAGAUGCAGUGGCCCGAUGCUGGGACUUUAGAGAAGAGAGACCUGCCGCGUUUAGGAGUGCAAAGAUUUUUUCCCUCAAGAGUCCACAGCAGUAAGUCCAUGGAUGUAUCCAGGGAUAAUUUCUUAACCCCUUCUAAGUGGAUGUCCAGCCUUCAUGGCUGAUGGAUAAUUUGAGGAACUGUCAAUAUUUAAAUUUAAAUGAAGGUUUAUGCAAACACCUCAAUUUCACUUGCAUGCUCUUUGCAUGAGGAUCUAAAUGUAAGACAUGAAAUAAAAGAAACU